ACAAAUAAGAAUAGUUCGUUUCGGUUGAUAUCCAAGCACUUCGCAAUUACAGAGUACAAAACUAAACAUUAUUCAACAUUUCAACAUAACAAAACACACUUUUUUUUUCUUUCCCAAACUUGAUAAAUUUCAAUUCCUCCUUUAUUUUUUUUAUUUUUUUUAUUUUUGAAUCUGAUUUUUCUUUCUCUUUUUGUUGUUGUUUUUUUUUGAAUUUUUGAAACUGAUAUAUAUAUAUAUAUAUAUUUCUUUUGAAUUUCGAAUUUUCUUGUUGGAGAAGAAAAGUACAACAAUUCCAACCUAUGCUCGGAUACCAGAUGAUACGAUGUAGCCUAACGAAACAGACUAUCUUCGUAUGUUACGGAUCUAGGAAUGUUG
rnacentral:lncRNA from 1 species